UGGAUAUGAUGAGUGGUCAAUGCUCGCAUUAUAAUAUGCGGGGAGGGCGUUCCAGCCUAGCCUGGUUACGAUAAUUUGGAUACCCUCACUUUUCACCAAUCUGAUCCC